rnacentral:lncRNA from 1 species
UUCUGCUUCAUUCCAUGGCCAGAGCAAGCCACGUGGGCAAGCCCGAAACCAGGGGGCGGGAAAGUACCCUCCACCCACAAGGAAACCAUGGCAAGCGGUGGUUGCAGACGCAAAAACCAAGGCCAAACAGCUGAGUUUUCUGCCCUGGAGGAGGAAAGUGGUCUCUGAAAGCCAGAAGACUCUCACAUUACAUAAUUCCUGCCAGCUGCUGUCAAGAGCUGCUAAGCUGUCCUCAAGUCCUGUGUCUGAUGUCAAGCUAAUAACAGAUUUAGGGUGCAUUAGUAAAGGUAUCUUAAUCAAGUCUAGAUGCCUUCGAGAUUAGACUCAGCCAUGAUGAGCAGCUAAGGAUUAGCAAGAAAGAUUACAAAUUGUUUCCAGGAAUUUAUUUCUUUCAACACUGAUUAUAUGUAUAGUCUUAAGUCAAAUUAAAAUGUUGUUUAUGUUC